rnacentral:rRNA from 1 species
CAACUCUCAACAACGGAUAUCUUGGCUCCCGUAUCGAUGAAGAACGCAGCGAAAUGCGAUACGUAGUGUGAAUUGCAGAAUUCCGUGAACCAUCGAAUCUUUGAACGCAAAUUGCGCCCGAGGCCUCGGCCGAGGGCAUGUCUGCCUCAGCGUCGGCUU